CAGCCCGCAAUGGCUGCCGCUAUCCGCUGCUUUCUUGGUGUCUGAGCUGUAGAGCGGACCUGUCAAAGAGGGGCUGCUGUUUGGGUCACUUUCCCUCUGGCUGUUUGUGGCGCAGGUACAUGAGUACCUCAAUCUUGUCCUGGAAAGAAUACCACGCACUGGAAGUCUGCGAAGAAGUGAAGACACUAAAGGGGCGCAGUGUUGUGUUUACUUGGUGGCAGUGGAGCGGGUCCAGGGCAGUCCUCCUUCGCCAGUCUGCUCCCAGUUUUCGAGAGGAGUCUAUGCUAUUUUUGGAUUUUAUGACAAGAAGUCUGUAAAUACCAUCACAUCGUUUUGCGGAACACUCCACGUCUCCUUCAUCACUCCCAGCUUCCCAACAGAUGGCACACAUCCAUUUGUCAUUCAGAU
rnacentral:sRNA from 1 species